GGAACAGGCACCUGAUUCUGGGAACGUGGCUCACCUUUCCGUCCCUUGUAGAUUUCUCUAUUGGUUAACCUGAGCAAGCCCCAUUCAACCAAAAUAGGCUGCCUAUCACAGUCCCACACAUGCCUUUUUGGAGUGUAUUGUGAUUAUCGCAGAGAUCUCAAACUGGACAAAAUGGACAGAUAAAGACUGGAUAUUCUCAGCAUUACUUGAGGAAACAACUAACAGCAUAGAUCCAGGAAACUCUUUUCCAGACACAGCAGGGAGCUGUUCCUAUGAACUCAGAGACGGUGGAAGCAGAAGAACGCACAAGACUUGUGCAAGCUCAAGCCCCCUCUUGCAAGGAUUCAGAGUUGAGCAGGUAAUUUGGACAAAGUCAUCAAGGACCACGGGAGAGAUAACUGCAAACACACGUUCAUAGUAAGUCAAGGUGAAUAACUGUUAUUUAAAAUAAAUGAAGAGAAGGACCCAGCCACGGAAUCAGGAAACAGAUAAGUUCUGGAGUAUUCUUAGUUUUUUUUUCUCAGUAAAAUCAUUAGGUCUAGUAUCUCCUAUAUCAUCACAGGCUACAAUAGCUGUAUCCAUAUCUGUCACAACCAUAGCCCAGGAUACCAUAUCCACAGUCACAGCUGCAAACAUAGCCCAGGCCACAGAAACCUGGGCCACCAUAGCCCAGGGCACCAUAUUACCACAAUAACACAUAACAUGAAAGUAGACUGUUUUCAUUAAGAAUUAAGGGUAACAGUGUCAUCUAUCUGAGCACUGUAUCUGUCCAUCACUAUAAUGCCCUGUCAGUGGUGGAUGGGACAAACUACAGUAACAGCACCUCUCAAAAUUCAUUCUAUCUAUAAUUAAGAAACAGCCUCACUAUUGUCAUUGUUUAAACAAGGAAUUCUCACAGACUGCAUGCUCGUUCUUUUCUUU